rnacentral:rRNA from 1 species
UACAGAGGGUGCAAGCGUUGUUCGGAAUUAUUGGGCGUAAAGGGCGCGUAGGCGGUGCUGUAAGUCUGUAGUGAAAUCUCUGGGCUCAACUCAGAGUCUGCUAUAGAAACUGCAGUGCUAGAGUAUGGGAGAGGAUCGUGGAAUUCCUAGUGUAGUGGUGAAAUACGUAGAUAUUAGGAGGAACACCGGUGGCGAAGGCGGCGAUCUGGCCCAAUACUGACACUCAUACACGAAAGCGUGGGGAUCAAACAGG